ACCUGUACCCAUGCCGAACACAGAAGUUAAGCCCUAGAACGCCGGAAGUAGUUGGGGGUUGCCCCCUGUGAGAUAGGGAAGUCGCUUAGC
rnacentral:rRNA from 1 species